rnacentral:rRNA from 1 species
UAUCAAUAAGCUGAGGAAAAGAAACUAACAAGGAUUCCCCUAGUAACGGCGAGUGAAGCGGGAAGAGCUCAAAUUUGAAAUCUGGUAGCCUUCGGUUGCCCGAGUUGUAAUCUAGAGAAGUGUUUUCCGCGUUGGCCCAUGUACAAGUCCCUUGGAACAGGGCGUCAUAGAGGGUGAGAAUCCCGUCCUUGACAUGGACCCCCAAUGCUUUGUGAUACACUUUCAACGAGUCGAGUUGUUUGGGAAUGCAGCUCAAAAUGGGUGGUGAAUUCCAUCUAAAGCUAAAUAUUGGCGAGAGACCGAUAGCGAACAAGUACCGUGAGGGAAAGAUGAAAAGCACUUUGGAAAGAGAGUUAAACAGUACGUGAAAUUGUUGAAAGGGAAACGAUUGAAGUCAGUCAUGCUCUUUGGAUUAAGCCGUUCUGCGGUGUAUUUCAUUGAGCGGGGUCAACAUCAGUUUUGAUCGCUGGAAAAGGGCAGGAGGAAGGUAGCACUCUCGGGUGAACUUAUAGCCUCUUGUCGUAUACAGUGAUUGGGACUGAGGAACGCAGCAUGCCUUUUGGCCGGGAUUCGUCCACGUACAUGCUUAGGAUGUUGACAUAAUGGCUUUAAACGACCCGUCCUUGAAACACGGAC